UACGUAGGGUGCAAGCGUUGUCCGGAAUUAUUGGGCGUAAAGAGCUCGUAGGCGGUCUGUCGCGUCUGCUGUGAAAACUCAGGGCUUAACCCUGAGCUUGCAGUGGGUACGGGCAGACUAGAGUGUGGUAGGGGAGACUGGAAUUCCUGGUGUAGCGGUGAAAUGCGCAGAUAUCAGGGAGGAACACCGGUGGCGGAAGGCGGGGUCUCUGGGCCGAGUACUGACG
rnacentral:rRNA from 1 species